rnacentral:rRNA from 1 species
ACAGUCUCCGGAAGACGGUUGUUGCGCACGUAUUCGGUGAACGCACUAUGGCGACGCUGGGGCGUCUUAUGAGCCUGCUGUCACCCUUUGACGUGGUGAUAUGGAUGACGGAUGGCUGGCCGCUGUAUGAAUCCCGCCUGAAGGGAAAGCUGCACGUAAUCAGCAAGCGAUAUACGCAGCGAAUUGAGCGGCAUAACCUGAAUCUGAGGCAGCACCUGGCACGGCUGGGACGGAAGUCGCUGUCGUUCUCAAAAUCGGUGGAGCUGCAUGACAAAGUCAUCGGGCAUUAUCUGAACAUAAAACACUAUCAAU